GGCAAGCAGGCCGAGAAAGGUCAGCGCGACGGUGACGAGGAAGCCGCCGAGCGACAGCAGCCAGGCGCCGGCGCGGAAGCCGCCCGGGCGUGCGGCGGGCGGCUGGGGCAGGCUCGGGACUGCAUCGGGUU
rnacentral:misc_RNA from 1 species